rnacentral:rRNA from 1 species
AGAGUUUGAUUAUGGCUCAGGACGAACGCUGGGCGGCGUGCCUAACACAUGCAAGUCGAGCGGGGACAUGCGACGGAACCGGAAGUUUUCGGAUGGAAGGCGAAGAUGUAUGUUCUAGCGGCGGACGGGUGAGUAACGCGUGAGCAACCUGUCCUUCACGAGGGGGAUAACACAGCGAAAGUUGUACUAAUACCGCAUAAGACCACACCGGGACAUCCCGGGAGGGGUCAAAAGGAGCAAUCCGGUGAAGGGUGGGCUCGCGUCCGAUUAGAUAGUUGGUGAGGUAACCGGCCCACCAAGUCGACGAUCGGUAGCCGACCUGAGGAGGGUGAUCGGCCACAGUUGGGACUGAGACACCGGACCCAAACUCCGUACGGGAGGCAGCAGGUGGGGAAUAGUUGGGCAAUGGGGGAAAAACCCCCUGACCCAGCAACGCCGCGUGAGGGAAGAAGGUUUUCGGAUCGUAAACCUCUGUCCUUGGUGAAGAGAUAGAGACGGUAGCCAAGGAGGAAGCCCCGGCUAACUACGUGCCAGCCGCUGC